GUUGGAGGGGAAUGGUAAUAUUGGUCAUAUUUACAAUAUAUGGCAAAUAUUCUUUAAAUUAAAAGAAAAGAAGAAAGUACUAUUCCCGGUAAAAGUGUAUGGGAGAAUAUUGGGUAAUGGAGAAUAUGGGGAUUAUGGACCUUAGACCCACCACACUGCUUCAAUGAGGGCUUUCAUUUUAUUUUAUUUUAUUUCAUCAUGAUAAUGUUUCACAUUUUAACGAUCACAUAAUGACCUACCUGUCCUAUUCACUUACUGUGAGUACUUAAUACACUUUUUUUUAUUCAUUACAAGUUAUUCCUUGACUACAAUCUCACCUGAUGGUAAGUGCUGAUGCAAUUUAAGAUGGAAGCGAACUAACUUAUUAGUAAGAGGAUGAAAAUCCACACCCCUUUCGGUUUCUACACGACAUCGUACCGGAACGCUAAAUCGCUUGGCGGUAGGUCUUUGCCGGUAGGGUGGUAACUAACCGCGGCCAAAGUCUCCCACUAGCCAGACCUGGAACAAUUAAGAAAACAAUAAUCGGCCCAGCCGGGGAUCGAACCCAGGACCUCCGUCUUGUAAAUCCACCUCGCAUACCACUGCUAUACCCACCAAUUGUACCUAAGUAAUUCCUAUGUAACGUGAUUUAGUAUUACUAUCUUGAGAGACUAUGUGUAUCCACCUAGUUCUUUUCAAAAUGGCGAGUUCAGAAUUCAGGAUAUAAAAAAAUGUGUACUAUACUUGAGCCAUAUUGCACCAAUCAGGUGCAAGCAGGUGUUAUCAACCUAUUGGAAACUUCAGAAUAAUAAUUAUUUUUUUCUAAUCAUACAAAGUAGUGCAAACUAAAGGGCUGAAAUUAAUAAAACAUGGCUUAGAUGUAGAGAUAUAGCUUUAGAGGGAUAAAAAUUCUUUGUUUCAGUAUAACUUCCAACUGAAUAUUUUUUAUGAAUUUUCAUCAAUACGUAGGUAUAAAGCAGCUAUUUUAUUCUCCUUGAAGCUCAUUCAAAAAUAAAAAAAACAUUUUUGUUUAAUUAGACAACAUUGGAUAGAAGCAGGCGUUACUUUGCGGAAGUUCAUCAUGAUUAUAUAAUGAUUAGACAACCUUAUUUAUGGUAAUUAGUGAUUAGUGAUUUGUUUACAGUCUAAACCGAAUUAGGAGGCUCUAGUAUAGGCCUGUAUUCUGUUGUACUAGCGAGUUCAGAAUUCUGAAACUCUUUUAACGUAAAAGGUACAAACGCAAGGAAAUGGCGUAUUACCACAGAAAACAUAUGUACAAAUGACCGACCUAGCCAUUAUCAAGUAGAUCACAAUGUCAUGCCAUUCUAAAACAAAAGCGAUGGUGUUUCCUGUUUCUACACUUAUGUUAUUAUGGUAGGCAUACGUAUAACCAACUGGUAUCUUUUGCACUGCAAGUAAAUAACUAUUUAUUUACGUAUCUUUUGCUUAUUAAGUAAAUAACUAUUUGUUAUAGUUACAUACUGUUAACUAUUUGUUAUAGUUACAUACGGUCAAUAAUAAUAAUAACAAUUAUACAACUAGUUAGUUACUUUAAAAUUGAGUUAGAAGUUUUUUUUUGGUUUUCUAAAUUAAUGCCCAGGUAAAAUAUGUAUUGAUUACAAUAAUACUGUAUACAAUACAGCACCAAAUUUGUUUUGUUAGUUCCUCAAUAUGACAUCCAGAGAAUUUUUUUCCGUUUCUAUGGAAUAAUAUUGCCGAAAAUGGGACGUGUAGCUACAGAGGUUCUGUAUCUAUUUGAAAUUGUUUUUUUUUUUGCUAAUGACGUAAUCGUAGCUACUUAAUUGUCCUUCAAAUUAUUAUUUAAAUAUUGUUGCUAAUAUUAAUAUUAUAAGGAUUUUCCUGUGAGAUAAUAUUUAGAACGUUUUUUGCUCAUAAGUUAAUGACAAAAAACAUCAUUAAUUAAGUUUUUUUAUUACAGCUAAUAUUUUUUACUAUAAUAUUUUUAUUUUACGUCACGCGUCACGUUUUGAACCUAGUUUACAAAUUAUUUAUGAUGGCGGAAAAAUCUUCCAAAAUUUUGACAAUGAAAUUGACUAGGUAAUUAAAAUUCCAACAAUUUUUUUAUAUAAAUGUAUUCUGAUAACCUGGAGUAUGGCAAUCGGUUUGAUUUAAAAACCAGUUUUAUUUUUUUCCAAAGGCGCUGACUGGUAAAACUUAAAAACUAUCAAAAUGUGGAUUUCAUAUCGGGACAAUUAAAACGCUUAUAAAAUCAAGUUGUUGGUUUAACCAUAAUUUUUAACAAGAUAUGGGAAUUUUUAAAUUAUUUUAAUGUUUUUAUCGCCAAAAUAAAUUUUGAAAGAAGAAGAAGAAAUACUUUAUUGCACACAAAAAUACAAUUAUAAAUUGAAACAUUAAAAACAUAAAUUAAACUUAGCAUGCAAAGGCGGCCUUGAAAGAAGUGAAAUAGGUACCUAAAACUGUCCAAAAAAAAAUAUUUUUUUUAUUUUUAGAUUUUUUUAUGAUGUCUUGAUUGAAACAAAGGAUAAUAGACUUAGUUUUAUCUAAGUCUAUUCGUAUUCAGUAACUAUAAAACAAAAAAAGUUUUAGCAACUGAUGGUCGAUAGCUGUAGGACAAUUUCGCUUGUUUACCGUGUUAUCCUUAUGUCUGUAUAUAUCUAUGUAUCUGUGUAUCUAUUUGUAUUUCAGUAUGGCUGUAGCACCGUAUACUGUGACCGUAGUCUGCAAAAAGGAAAUGCGAUUAAUAAUAAUAGCUUUUACAGAUAAAGUUAUCGGCUAUCUACGAUGAAUAUCGGAUAUUAUUUUAAUACUUAAAUAAAAUCCUAAACAUAGGUAUACAUUUGACGGCCUCCGUGGCGCAGUGGUAUGCGCGGUGGUUUUACAAAACGGAAGUCCUGGGUUCGAUCCCCGGCUGGGCAGAUUGAGAUUUUCUUAAUCGGUCCAGGUCUGGCUGGUGGGCUUCGGCCGUGGCUAGUUACCACCCUACCGGCUAAGACGUACCGCCAAGCGAUUUAGCGUUCCGGUACGAUGUCGUGUAGAAACCGAAAGGGGUGUGGAUUUUCAUCCUCCUCUUAACAAGUUAGCCCGCUUCCAUCUUAGACUGCAUCAUCACUUACCAUCAGGUGAGAUUGUAGUAAAGGGCUAACUUGUAAAGAAUUAAAAAAAAAA